rnacentral:rRNA from 1 species
GUACACGCUGUGACUAGCAUAUCAAUAAGCGGAGGAAAAGGAAACUAACAAGGAUUCCCCUAGUAACGGCGAGUGAAGCGGGAAGAGCUCAAAUUUGAAAUCUUCAAGGUUUUACCUUGACGAAUUGUAGUUUAAAGAAGUGUUUUCUGUUAGAAGUUUCGGUAAAAGUUCUUUGGAAUAGGACAGUCAUAGAGGGUGAGAAUCCCGUAUUUGACCAUUACUUUCAGCUUUGUGAUACACUUUCAAAGAGUCGGAUUGUUUGGGAAUGCAGUCCAAAAUGGGUGGUAAAUUUCAUCUAAAGCUAAAUAUUGGCGAGAGACCGAUAGCGAACAAGUACCGUGAGGGAAAGAUGAAAAGAACUUUGAAAAGAGAGUUAAACAGUACGUGAAAUUGUCAAAAGGGAAGCGUUUGACACCAGUGUUGUUUUUCUGAAAAUCAAUUAAAGAACUGUUUAUGCUAAGUUGUUUAGACUUUAUCAGCUAACUGUUUAGUUUUGAGCUUUUCUUUAAUGCACUUUUCAGUUAACAAGUCAACAUCGAUUUCUUUUGCUGUAAAAAAGCUUGAGGAAGGUGGCUUGAGAUUCGUCUUAAGUGUUUAUAGCCUCUUGCCUAUGCAGUCGGAGAGAUUGAGGUCUGCAGCGUAGAUCCUUCGGGGCUAAAUGCAUUUGUGCCUAAGUUAUAGCAUUUUAUAGACAACUUGUUGACUAUGAUUUGUCUUGUAGCUUACUCGCUUAUGUUAUUUUACCUACGCUUAGGAUGUUGAGCGCAUGUCUCUCUCU